rnacentral:misc_RNA from 1 species
GAUGAAGAACGCAGCGAAAUGCGAUAAGUAAUGCGAAUUGCAGAUUUCAGUGAGUCAUCGAAUCUUUGAACGCACAUUGCGCCCGCCAGUAUUCUGGCGGGCAUGCCUGUUCGAGCGUCAUUUCAACCAUCAAGCCCCCGGGCUUGCGUUGGGGCCCUGCGGCUGCCGCAGGCCCCGAAAAGCAGUGGCGGGCUCGCUGUCACACCGAGCGCAGUAGCGAUUCUCGCUCAGGGCGUGCUGCGGGUUCCGGCCGUUAAAAAGCCUUUUUUACCCAAGGUUGACCUCGGAUCAGGUAGGAAGACCCGCUGAACUUAAGCAUAUCAAUAAGCGGAGGA